UGGGGACUUUCAUCUCUACACCAAAGACACCUGAAGAACUCAAAGCCACCUGCACGUGGAAAGCUGGACCCUAAGAUACUACACUCCACCUGUUGGACUGUCGAGGCCACUCCAGACACCAGUCGAGGCGGUAAUUAAAGCGACCCUCGGUUCGGCCUACCUGGGGUGUUCAACAGCCUGGACAUCUUGCAGAAGUAGGAGACGUACUGUUCGCAGUACUCGGCGCUGCUGGUGAUGGCGCUGAUCUGGUCCAUGGAGGCACUGUAGAUGAGCUGUGUCACCGAGUACUUUUCUGGGUUGUAGCCUACCACCGUCGUCUGCAUCUGCAAGUCGUGAGACACGAUGGUCCACACUUUGUCCUCUGUGGGCAGAAAAAUGACCACAUCAGUAAAACAUCAGUAGGGAAAGGCUUCUUCAAGUGUCGGAAAAUAACUAAGUUACACCGCCCUCCUAAGACACUGGGUCUCCCUACGUGCUGUUCGCUCUAAUCAGAAUACGCGUCUUCAUCUUAUCAACAGAUGUUCUUUCCACACUGACCUUUCAGGCAAAACUAGACACUGCAUUGAUCUGUCACCAAAAGGCUCUGCACGUGUGGAAUCAAGCAAGUGAGCAAUGAUCUCAGCAUCAUGGACCCUGAACAUUUCAGAGUGAGAAAAGCAGCAGCAGAUAUGAGGUGAAGUUAAAUAAAAACUCUCCAUACAUCUGGGUUUUAAUUAGGAGGAUGGCUGUGAACCUAAGAAAAUAUCGUAUUUUAAAAAUGGAGACAUAUGUCCUAAAUGCAUCCUGGAAAAGCUCUAGAACAAGCACCAAACUGUCAUUGCUAAACACCAAUUUCCAGCUGGAGAAGACUAGGAUCUCUGGAGAAAUGGCCCAGUCCAGAGCUGAAAAAGGGGGACAGGUCGUGCCACCAUAUCUGAAGCAAGCUGUCAGGCUGCUCCAAGAAGCCCAGAACCAAGGACGGGACAAUUCUGACAUCAAUAAGAAUUUCCUACCAUGGAUUAAAAGACACCAAACAUAUUUAAGACCAGGAAUUAAUUACAAUGUAAGAAAAAAGUUUAACAUUGUAAGGUGCCAGUUAACCAAUCAUUUUGACUAUUGGUCCAUACCGGCAAAGAAUGAAGCAAUUGGCCUCUGGCUCCUAUAUGAACUGUAAUGUAAGUAUUCUCUUUAUGGAAAUAUUUCAGUUCACAAGAGAAUACUAAAUAAUACAAUGGGAGUAUCAUCAUUUUGUGACUUCUAAGUUAGUAGGAUCUAAGUCAUGAUUGCUAAUGGCUGGUCUGUGCCUCUCGAGGGCCACCUACAGCACAUAGUGCAACAAGGACCUUGCAAGGAUGUAGCUGAGCUUCUGCAGAUUCCCAGAAACAGGGAGGAUGGGAGCCUGACUGGAGAAGGGCUCUGUGAACUCUAUGGAUCAACCCAGUUUCCUUGAAGGGGGAAGGGCGUGAGGAAGAGGUGAGCGUGAGAGUGCGCUGUGGAUCAGGCCCUUCCUGAAUUCUCCCCGUCAAGGUGUCUCCAUUUCAGCAAAUGGCGGCUCCAUUCUGCCAGUUUCCCAGGAAGAAACCCUAGAAGCACCACUGACUCUCGCUACACCAGCAGGCUGCUUGCAAACCCUGUCUGCUCUUCCUUCAGUCUACGUGGGUCAUAUGUUUGAAGAACCCUAGCAAGUGCCAGAAACCACAGAGAACCAACCCUACAUGUCCUGUGUCUUAUCCUAUAUACACAUGCCUACCAAGAUCUUUGUUUUAUAAAUCAGGCAUGGUGAUAUAUUAGCAAUAAUAGCUAAUAAUAAAACAGAACAAGUAUGACAACCAA